UACGUAGACGGUUGGAUAAGUCGGAUGUGAAAGCCCCGGGCUCAACCUGGGAAUGGCAUUCGAGACUGUUCAGCUAGGGUGCGGAAGAGGGAAGCGGAAUUUCCGGUGUAGCGGUGAAAUGCGUAGAUAUCGGAAGGAACACCAAUGGCGAAAGCGGCUUCCUGGUCCAGCACCGACGUUCGGGUACGAAAGCAUGGGGAGCAAACAGGAUUAGAUACCCUGGUAGUCCAUGCCAUAAACGAUGAGGACUAGACGUUGAGAGGGUAAGCCUCGCAGUGUCGUAGCUAACGCGCUAAGUCCUCCGCCUGGGGAGUACGGCCGCAAGGUUGAA
rnacentral:rRNA from 1 species